rnacentral:tRNA from 1 species
GGCCCCUUCGUCUAAUGGUCAGGACAUGAGGUUUUCAACCUCAGAAUGUGAGUUCAAUUCUCGCAGGGGUCA